rnacentral:tRNA from 1 species
AUUUUUAUAGUUGAAUAACAAUAUCAGUUUUUCGUGCUGAAGGUUCAGGUUUAAGAUAGUCCGGAUAAGAAUU